CUGAACUUGACAAACCUGCUCUUUCGCACACGCGUCGUCUGUUUUUAGACUGAAGCUUGGGUACAUUUAAUACAAACGUCUGGGAAGUGGAAUUAACAUGGCAUGCGUCCGUGUGUUUAUUCGCCCGAACGGACCUUCUCAUAUAUGAAAAGGCGAGAGAGCCUACGGCUGUCACAUACUGUAUACAGUACAAGUGUGACAUCUCAGAACACCUUCCGGUAAUCUUUCAGGUGUUCAGUUGAGAUUGGAAUUGAAGACAUGGGGGAUCCUUCCCUAACCCGGGACUGCCCGCUAGACUGUAAGGUCUAUGUUGGAAAUUUAGGCAACAGUGGUAAUAAGACUGAACUUGAGAGAGCGUUUGGCUAUUAUGGUCCACUGAGGAGCGUAUGGGUGGCCAGAAAUCCUCCCGGCUUUGCUUUUGUGGAGUUUGAAGACCCAAGAGAUGCAACUGAUGCUGUGAGGGAGCUAGAUGGAAGAACACUGUGCGGUUGUCGGGUCCGAGUUGAAAUGUCCAAUGGUGAGAAACGUUCAAGGUUUCGAGGGCCACCUCCUUCAUGGAGUCGCCGGCCACGAGACGAUUAUAGACGUGGUGAUGAUUAUAGACGCCGCAGCAGCCCACCUGCAAGACACCGAGACAUCACCAAGCCUCUACUCAUCUACCUCUGAGUCAGUCAACUAGCCCUCUUUCAGCAUCAUGUGACCAGCGUACACCAAUCAGCUCACAUGAUUCAAGCAUGGCCACCAGCCCAUUGGUUCCUGAGCAUGCCUCUCUCUCAGGCUCCUUCACCUCCUCCAACGUUAACCUGAUCGGCAAAACCAACCACGCCACAUUUACAACCAAUCGACGGGUCUUAUGCCCCCUCCCCAAAUGUCUACAUGACAACAUACCCUCAGCAGUCCUCAUCUAACUGACAUCUUCAGCCACCUACUGUAUAGCAGUUAACAUCUAGCAACCAUCUGGCAAAAUCUCCCCGCAAAUUUCGCCCUCCUGACCAGCACUCAGCUUCACUGCAUCAUAACUAGCUUGUUAGUAAGUUAACGCCUUUUCCUCCGCUUAAUGACAUUGAAUUUGAUUUAUUUGGUGGUUUUGAGGUACAACUUUUUUCGUGAUGUACAUGUAUUUUACAGUAUUCAGAGGGAUUUUUUAACUAAUAAUUUUUGAACAGCCCUCUGCGUUACAGUAGUAUUCAUACUGAACAUUGUUGAUCAAAGGCUUGGCAAAUUAUGGCAGAUUGAGAAGAGCCAGCUCGGAUAGAUUUAAAAAUUGCUGUGCCCAUAUUGGGCUUAAAGACCGUGAUUGAAUAACAGGUUUUUGUUCAGAAAAUGAGUUUUGUCAUUGCGUGGCGCUGCAUGUGUCAAGUAUUUGACAGUAUUGACCCCUGACUUGUCAGUAUUUCUUAAAUGUACAUCUAGGUCUCCCAGGAGGAGCUUUAGCCGUAGUCGGAGCAGGUCCCUUUCCAGAGAGAGGAGAAGAGAGAGGUCUUUGUCUCGAGAUAGAAACUAUAAACCUUCAAGGUCUUUCUCAGGAUCACGCAGUCGUUCGCGAUCCAAUGGUCGGAAGUGAAGUCUUCAAGCCCAGCAUUGUCAGAAAAAGUGUGUCUGUGCCUGCUCUCUAACAGACUAGGAUGAUGGGAAACAACGAUGGAGUUUUUUUUUUUUUUUUUUUGGCCCCCCAAAAGUCUUUUAAAAUGUUUUUCCCCCCCAUAGUGUUCUAAGUAUCUUUUUUUUACUUAAGAUAUCUGUGCUUAAUGGGUAGUAAUGGUUUCAUCCUGCCUCAAUGCUUGGAAUGUAAUUUUAUGCUCUUUGGGCAGAGAAGUGUUCUGAAUGGUCUGAUCUAGGGGAUCAUUUGAAGACGAUUUUGUAUGCUUUUUUUGUUUGUACUUCCAUUAAAAUGUUCCUUACGAAU